rnacentral:sRNA from 1 species
UCUGAAUCUGCUGUGGGCAGAUGAAAUGAAUAUGGGUAUCAAUGCCGCCAGCGGUUACAAUCAUGCCUUCACCGGCGAUGAUUUCGGUGGAAGCACCGAUGACCAGUGCGGGAUGAACACCAUCCAUUGUAUCCGGGUUACCGGAUUUGCCAAUGGCGCAGAUGUGACCAUCUCGAAUGCCGAUAUCCGCUUUUACAAUGCCCCAAUGAUCGAUAAUGAUAGCGUUAGUGAUAACAGUAUCAGGGGUGCCGUCGCUUCGCAGAGCAGUAGUAGACUGGCCCAUCCCGUCGCG